rnacentral:tRNA from 1 species
GGCUUCAUAGCUCAGUUGGUAGAUUAUCGCACCGGCAUUGCGGAGGUCAUGGGUUCGAUUCCCAUUGAAGCUU